rnacentral:rRNA from 1 species
GACGAACGCUGGCGGCGCGCUUAACACAUGCAAGUCGAACGGAAAGGCCUGCUUUCCCUUGUGGAUUGCGGGUACUCGAGUGGCGAACGGGUGAGUAACACGUGAGUGAUCUGCCCCCAACUUGGGUAUAAGCCUGGGAAACUGGGUCUAAUUCCCGAUAGGACUGCAGGGUGGUGCCUGUGGUGGAAAACGAUUUUCUAGUGGUUGGGGAUGAGCUCGCGGCCUAUCAGCUUGUUGGUGGGGUAAUGGCCUACCAAGGCGGCGACGGGUAGCCGGCCUGGGAGGGUGGACGGCCACAUUGGGACUGAGAUACGGCCCAGACUCCUACGGGAUGCAUCAGUGGGGAAUAUUGGACCAUGGGCGGAAGCCUGAUGCAGCGACGCCGCGUAGGGAAUGACGGACUUCGGGUUGUAAACUCCUUUCGACCGCGAGGAAGCCACCUGGUUGGAAGGGUGGUGACGGUAGUGGUAGAAGAAGCACCGGCUAACUACGUG